CAGUAGCCGCGGUAAAACGGAGGGUGCAAGCGUUAAUCGGAAUUACUGGGCGUAAAGCGCACGCAGGCGGUCUGUUAAGUCAGAUGUGAAAUCCCCGGGCUUAACCUGGGAACUGCAUUUGAAACUGGCAGGCUUGAGUCUUGUAGAGGGGGGUAGAAUUCCAGGUGUAGCGGUGAAAUGCGUAGAGAUCUGGAGGAAUACCGGUGGCGAAGGCGGCCCCCUGGACAAAGACUGACGCUCAGGUGCGAAAGCGUGGGGAGCAAACAGGAUUAGAUACCCGCGUAGUCCCUGUCUCUUAUAC
rnacentral:rRNA from 1 species